GCUGGCGGCACGCCUACACAUGCAAGUCGAACGCAGUAGCAAUACUGAGUGGCAGACGGGUGAGUAACAUGUGGGAAUCUGCCUUGUGGUUCAGGACAACAUUGGGAAACCGAUGCUAAUACUGGAUAAGCCCUUACGGGGAAAGUUUUAAUGCCAUAAGAUGAGCCCGCAUUUGAUUAGUUAGUUGGUGAGGUAAUGGCUCACCAAGACAAUGAUCAAUAGCUGAUCUGAGAGGAUGAUCAGCCACACUGGGACUGAGACACGGCCCAGACUCCUACGGGAGGCAGCAGUGGGGAAUCUUGCACAAUGGAGGAAACUCUGAUGCAGCGAUGCCGCGUGAGUGAAGAAGGCCUUUGGGUUGUAAAGCUCUUUUGUAGGGGAAGAUAAUGACUGUACCCUAAGAAUAAGGUCCGGCUAACUUCGUGCCAGCAGCCGCGGUAAUACGAAGGGACCUAGCGUAGUUCGGAAUUACUGGGCGUAAAGCGCGCGUAGGCCGUUGAGUUAGUUAAUUGUGAAAUCCCAAAGCUUAACUUUGGAACUGCAAUUAAAACUGCUCGACUAGAGUUUGAUAGAGGAAAGCGGAAUACAUAGUGUAGAGGUGAAAUUCGUAGAUAUUAUGUAGAAACACCAGUUGCGAAGGCGGCUUUCUGGAUCAACACUGACGCUGAGGCGCGAAAGUAUGGGUAGCAAAGAGGAUUAGAUACCCUCGUAGUCCAUACCAUAAACGAUGAUUGCUAGAUGUUGGAAAUUUAUUUUCAGUAUCGCAGCUAACGCAUUAAGCAAUCCGCCUGGGGAGUA
rnacentral:rRNA from 1 species